rnacentral:misc_RNA from 1 species
GAUGAAGAACGCAGCGAACUGCGAUAAGUAAUGUGAAUUGCAGAAUUCAGUGAAUCAUCGAGUCUUUGAACGCACAUUGCGCCCCCUGGCAUUCCGGGGGGCAUGCCUGUCCGAGCGUCAUUGCUGCCCUUCAAGCCCGGCUUGUGUGUUGGGUCGUCGUCCCCCCCGGGGGACGGGCCCGAAAGGCAGCGGCGGCACCGCGUCCGGUCCUCGAGCGUAUGGGGCUUUGUCACCCGCUCGAUUAGGGCCGGCCGGGCGCCAGCCGGCGUCUCCAACCUUCUAUUUUACCAGGUUGACCUCGGAUCAGGUAGGAAUACCCGCUGAACUUAAGCAUAUCAAUAAGCGGAGGA